AACCUAGCACACCUGCGGUGUGUACCUGCGGAAGGAUCAUUACAAGUGACCCCGGUCUAACCACCGGGAUGUUCAUAACCCUUUGUUGUCCGACUCUGUUGCCUCCGGGGCGACCCUGCCUUCGGGCGGGGGCUCCGGGUGGACACUUCAAACUCUUGCGUAACUUUGCAGUCUGAGUAAAUUUAAUUAAUAAAUUAAAACUUUCAACAACGGAUCU
rnacentral:misc_RNA from 1 species